CUUAGAUGGAAAAUAAAGGUAAAGGAAUUCUAUAACUCAGAUCUCUGGUCCAGCUUUGCAGAUGGCCUCAGAGCUAGCAAUACCAGGCACUGUAGAAGCUUCACUGGGAGGAAGAUGAUCCUCUGACAACAACUUUUGGUUGGGAGCCCAUUCAGUUGCACUGCAUAAAAGUUACGUCGGGGUUAGAGUCCGUUCCUGCUUAAGGGAGGGAAAGAUAGCCACUUAUUGUGGUGGGAGCACCCUUCUGUAUUUAUAAGGUAAUUUUUUUUUAAUAACAAACAUAGAAAUGAAGGAGUCUUGGGUUGCAUCCAACAUGUUUCUUUAGACAUUUUAAAUGAUGCAAUUACAGGUUGCAUACAACCUCAAACCAUCCUAGCUUGGAUACAAAAAGGAUGUGCCACCAAAGAGUUCAAAGCAUCCUCCAUAAACAAGUCAGGUAAAGUGCUCAGCAUCUAUACUAAUCCUGAAAUUAAGAUGUAAUUUAAAAGCUGAUCCACUUUUAAACCAGAGAUUUCUGUUUUAAGUAUGCUGCAUUCAUAACUGCCUGUUGCAA
rnacentral:lncRNA from 1 species